CACCUUCGGGUGUGAAUUAGCGGCGAACGGGUGAGGAACACGUGAAGAAUCUGCCUUCAACUCUGGGAUAACUCCGGGAAACCGGGGCUAAUACCGGAUAUGAGCCUUGAUCGCAUGAUCGGGGCUGGAAAGUUUUUCGGUUGAAGAUGACUUCGCGGCCUAUCAGCUUGUUGGUGAGGUAAUGGCUCACCAAGGCGACGACGGGUAGCCGGCCUGAGAGGGCGACCGGCCACACUGGGACUGAGACACGGCCCAGACUCCUACGGGAGGCAGCAGUGGGGAAUAUUGGGCAAUGGAGGAAACUCUGACCCAGCGACGCCGCGUGAGGGAUGAAGGCCUUCGGGUUGUAAACCUCUUUCAGUAGGGAAGAAGCGAAAGUGACGGUACCUACAGAAGAAGCACCGGCUAACUAUGUGCCAGCAGCCGCGGUAAUACAUAGGGUGCAAGCGUUGUCCGGAAUUAUUGGGGCGUAAAGAGCUCGUAGGUGGUUCGAUACGUCGGAUGUG
rnacentral:rRNA from 1 species